AGAUGUGAAGAAAAAGGACAAGAUGACACGAAUGAUGACAUAUGGUAUAACAGUCUACAGCGGAUAUUUAUAUUUCUAAACAAUGUUUUGUCAGUGAUCAACUAAUGCUGCUUCAAUGCACAGUAAAACAUGCUUAUAAUGAACACCUUUAUAACAAAGUCACGUUUAUUGCGCAGUGAUAUUUAUUCCCUUACGAAAGGAAAAUAACAACAAAAUAAUUGGAUAUAAUGAAGUUUGGUUACAAUGAAUUGUGUGUGCUGCCCCUGGAGGUUCAUUAUAACCAUGUUUUACUGUAUUUUGUGUCUCCAUUAAAGUAUUGACUUAAAAAAUCCAUUGAUACAUCUCUAAAAGAAUAAAAUGUUCAAUAACAAAAUAUGAAAUAUAAAGAACCACUGUUUGGGUUGUUUAUAUUGUUACAGUUACGGUAUACACUCAGAUUAAACCCACACAUCUGUUGUACCCCCAUAAUACAUGUACAAACAGUCCAGAUGUUUAUUCCUCUAACGAGUGAUUUUUGAUGUGAUAAAUGAAACUUAAUCUGUGAUUUGGACCUCGGAAAAUGAAUCUGAUUGUAUGGGCAUUGAAUAUAAGUGAGAAUUUGUAAAGAGUAGCACAUGAAUGACAAGAAGAUUCAAAUUAUUGUAAAUAGACAUGAUUUUGUUGAUAUGCAUGAAUGACAAGAAUAUUCAAAUUAUUGUAAAUAUAUAUGAUAUUCUUUAUAUAAAUUCUUUUUAAUAGUUCAUUUAUUUUUUAUUUAUACCCCACACAACGAGUUAUGGAGGGUAUAAUGCUUUUCACCCAUCAGUCUGUCAGUCAGUCCCUUUCUUGUCAGCGCAACUCCUCAGAGACCGCCCAACAGAAUUUCAUGAAACUUGGUAGUUAAUAUAAGGACACGCUGUGUAGAUGUGCAUAUUCCCAGGAAAAUUCUGAUUCAAUAAUUUAUAUAUUCAAUAAGUUAUAUAUUCAAUAAUUUAUAUAUUCAAUAAGUUAUGCUGAGGCUGUCUGUCCUGUUGUGUUAGUGCAACUCCUCUGAGAUUGCUCAACAGAAUUUUAAGAAAUAAGGACACUCUGUGUAGAUGUGCAUGUUCCCAGGAAAUUCUAAUUUAUUAAUUUUUCUGAGAGUUCUGCCCACUUUGAAUGUUUUUGAACAACUUAUGUCAAACGGGUUUCACACAGAGUUCCUGAAAACUUUAUUUUUCCGUCGGAUCUUUGGACUGAUGACGGUGGGGAUCUUAUCAGCCCGAAUAAUGUUUUAUCAGCCGGAACAAUUUCGUGGAAUUUUAAUUAACAAAUUACAUAAAAUUUAACAAUGGAUGAAUAGAAAUAUAAUCAAAUUCAAUUCCAUUGAAUUUUUCUUUGAAAUUAAAAUUGUUUUAAAUACCUUUUUCAAAUUGAAAACCCCUGUUCCAAACUCUCAACAUGCUGCCAUUCAAAUAAACAUUAAAAUGUAGAGGUAAACAUAUAAAAGAUUACUAAAAAUUUAUGUCGUGAAUGACUUUUGAACUUAAAAACGAAAAUUUUACUGAAUUUUUCAUACUUAUUGUAUACUUUUUGUACAUCUAGAAUAAAUGAUUGUGUUGUGUUUUUCCUGAGCUUAUUGUGACUUCUGACUUGUUUACAUGUACCAAUUAAACACUGAGAGGAAUUUAAUGAAAUCUCUUUAAAAAUCCUGUUAUCAAUUUUUAAUCAAUUAAAGGUAUCCAGGUACAUGUAUGAAUAAUGUUUUUUAAUGUGAUUUUCAUCCGAUUGUCCGUCAGUAAUGUAUAGCAUUACCAUUCAUUAUGUGAGGCAUUCUCAAGCAAUGUUGGAGCGUGGGGUAUCUGAGCUUGCUCACCUUUUCUUUCAUUUAAUAUGUAUACGUAUUUUGUUUUAUGCUAGAAUUUGAAAUAAAUGAAUGUCAAAUUGGAA